AAACGGCCUGGCGUCCCCAGCGAGGGUGAGGGCGACGUCGGGGACCAACAGCCGUGUGUCCUCUCUCCUCGUGUGCUCCGUCUGUCUCCACAGUUGGUACAGGCCCUCUCGCCAGGUCGUUUCGUUGCUUUGAACCAUCGAGGAUAUAUUUUUACAUCCUGCUUUUUCUAUCAAGAUCAGGUCGCUGAAGCACUUGGAACAAUCGUAGCUUGCUUUUGAAACGUUACAUCCCCUAAAGGACCAGGUUCAAACAGGGACAGCAACGCAUCAAAGAAAAAAAACAGACACCAAAUCUUUCAAGAACUGAAGAUUUUAAUUUCUCAGAUCGUCGACAACCUUUUAAGUUGUGAAAUGCCCUCUGUAUAAUUAUAUAUGUCUGCUCAACUCCUUUAAAGACAUUUCGUGUAAAUAUAGCAAUCUAGGUUUAAAUAUUGUAACAAACAUAUUAGCUCCUGGCACAUCUAACUUAACUCUAUUUUAUAUAUAAGCCUGUUAUGCUCUAUAUUGUCUUUCAUGCUCUAUAUUAUCUAAAAAACACAACUAACAUGAACCAUCUUCAAUACUAAAGUUACAAAUUAUUUCCCACGCGUGCAAGGCGCGCGAACGUUACUAGUGAUACAUAAUCAAAGAUCAGAUUGCAACAACUGACCUCACUCUUUGUCUCUAUCAUGCUCUAACUGGCAG
rnacentral:lncRNA from 1 species